rnacentral:rRNA from 1 species
CCUCGGGGGCUGCAGUGGGGAAUAUUGGACAAUGGGCGAAAGCCUGAUCCAGCCAUGCCGCGUGUGUGAAGAAGGCCUUCGGGUUGUAAAGCACUUUCAGUGGGGAAGAAAGCCUUGGGGCUAAUACCCUCGAGGAAGGACAUCACCCACAGAAGAAGCACCGGCUAACUCCGUGCCAGCAGCCGCGGUAAUACGGAGGGUGCGAGCGUUAAUCGGAAUUACUGGGCGUAAAGCGCGCGUAGGCGGUCUGAUAAGCCGGUUGUGAAAGCCCCGGGCUCAACCUGGGAACGGCAUCCGGAACUGUCAGGCUAGAGUGCAGGAGAGGAAGGUAGAAUUCCCGGUGUAGCGGUGAAAUGCGUAGAGAUCGGGAGGAAUACCAGUGGCGAAGGCGGCCUUCUGGACUGACACUGACGCUGAGGUGCGAAAGCGUGGGUAGCAAACAGGAUUAGAUACCCCUGUAGUC